rnacentral:rRNA from 1 species
UACGGGGGGGGCAAGCGUUGUUCGGAAUUACUGGGCGUAAAGGGCUCGUAGGCGGCCAACUAAGUCAGACGUGAAAUCCCUCGGCCUAACCGGGGAACUGCGUCUGAUACUGGAUGGCUUGAGAUUGGGAGAGGGAUGUAGAAUUUCAGGUGUAGCGGUGAAAUGCGUAGAUAUCAAGAGGAACACCUGCGGCGAAGGCGGGUUGCUGGGCCGACACUGACGCUGAGGCGCGAAAGCUAGGGGAGCGAACGGG